UUGAUAAGUUUGGGGGUAGUUAAUUUUUAUUUGCGUUAAUAGAUUGUUAGUAGAUUGUGGUUAGUUAUGUUUUAUUGUUGGUUAAGUGUUGCAUUUAGGAUUGCAUGCUAAUUCCAGCUUUUUGUUAGUUGCGCAUGUUUGGGGCCAAUGAUGAAAUUAAAAUUGCAUGAACAAGUCUAGUAAGGAUUGUUAAGCUAGAGAUAUGAUUUUCUUGACAUAAUUGAAAUCUUUAUCUGUUUGACACUGAUAUUAUCAGGAUAACACGUUUUCAAAAUGACCAUGUUGGCUAAGAAAGUUUAAAUGGAUAGAUAAUAGAAUUCUAAAGGAUGAAUGCUAGUGAAAUGAAGGAACAAUUUGAAUAGCUAGUGAUGACUGAAUUUAGACAUAAACUCAAGUUUGGGGGGAAAAUAUUUGGAGUAUAUAAGCUUUAAAAAUAAAUAAAUAAAUAAAUAAACACCAUGGCAUGCUUUUCUAGUUUUGUGGCCUUUGUUACUUGAGUAAGUACGCCCGAGGGGAUUGUCUCUACACCUAGCGCCCUAAGAUCUUAAUGGCUUGGGAGUCGUUGGUCGAAAGCUCGUUAAAGUAGCACUGGAAGGCCUAAGGGAAUAGAACAAUGCAUAGUCAUGAGAGAAAAAAAAUAGAAAAAUAAAUAAAUAAAUAAAGCGGGAAAAGCGCAAAAAGCCCCCGUUAUAAAAAAAAUAAACAUAAAUAUUCCAUUUUGACCCUUGGACUUUGGUGACUGCUUGAUUUUAGCCGAUUCUAGUUUAUUUGAGGAGUUCUCAAGUUUGCAAUGUAUAAUGCCUUCUAAGAAAUCUAUUAUGUUUCAUAUUUUGCUUUUCAAUGGGUAGCAUGGUCGUUGAACCCACACACACGAUAUCAGUUAUAACAGAUUUAGAUUUAUUGAUUGUUAGGAUAUUAUUGAUCUGCCUUAAUAUGAUAUAUUUGAAUGUUAAUGUGAUUUUUCUGAGGCCUAAUGGACAUACGGUGUGCUAUUUAAUUGCUGGAAUUACAAACAUAUAGAUAGUUUUAGGUGCAUUUGCAUGGUUGUUUAGUUGUUUUUGUGUCUUGUUGCUUGAGGACACGGAACGAUUUAAGUUUGGAGAUAUUUGAUGAUUGGGUAAUAUACCCAUGAAUUGAAUAUAAUCGAGCUUAAAUUAUUGUAUUCUCAAGUCGUUUAGAAGCAUUUUUACUGUGUUUAGUUGUUAUUUUGCAGAUUUGGGAGUUGGAGGGGCAAUUGAGGAAGUUUUGAGCAGAGAAUGGCAGUUUUGUAAUUAAAUUGACUUACAGCGCCGGGGCGCUCUGUAUUGUACUACUCGCAACGUCGGGGUGCUGGAGCGUGAUGUCUGUUGAGUGGAUACGCGUUGACUAAGGGUUUGACUGCAUAAUUGGAGGCUAUUUGAAGUUGAUUUGGACUAGGAUUGAAG
rnacentral:lncRNA from 1 species